rnacentral:rRNA from 1 species
AACGUAGGUACCGAGCGUUAUCCGGAUUCACUGGGCGUAAAGCGCGUGCAGGUGGUUGGGUAAGUCGGGCAUGAAAACUCUCGGCUCAACUGAGAGACGCUGUCCGAUACUGCCGGACUUGAGGGCAUAAGAGGGAGGUGGAAUUCCGCAUGUAGUGGUGAAAUGCGUAGAUAUGCGGAGGAACACCAGUGGCGAAGGCGGCCUCCUGGUAUGCACCUGACACUCAGACGCGAAAGCUAGGGGAGCGAAC